AGCAUGUGGUUAAUUCGAUGCAACGCGAAGAACCUUACCUGGGCUUGACAUCCCGAGAAUCCCCUGGAAACAGGGAGUGCCUUUCGGGAACUCGGAGACAGGUGCUGCAUGGCUGUCGUCAGCUCGUGUCGUGAGAUGUUGGGUUAAGUCCCGCAACGAGCGCAACCCUUGUCUUUAAUUGCCAGCAUUCAGUUGGGCACUUUAAAGAGACUGCCGGUGUUAAGCCGGAGGAAGGUGGGGAUGACGUCAAGUCCUCAUGGCCUUUAUGCCCAGGGCUACACACGUGCUACAAUGGGUGGUACAAAGAGAUGCCAACUCGCGAGAGCGCGCCAAUCUCAGAAAACCGGUCUCAGUUCGGAUUGGAGUCUGCAACUCGACUCCAUGAAGUUGGAAUCGCUAGUAAUCGCGUAUCAGCAUGACGCGGUGAAUACGUUCCCGGGCCUU
rnacentral:rRNA from 1 species